rnacentral:rRNA from 1 species
AUUGAACGCUGGCGGCAUGCCUUACACAUGCAAGUCGAACGGUAACGCGGGGCAACCUGGCGACGAGUGGCGAACGGGUGAGUAAUAUAUCGGAACGUGCCCAGUAGUGGGGGAUAGCCCGGCGAAAGCCGGAUUAAUACCGCAUACGACCUACGGGUGAAAGGGGGGGAUCGCAAGACCUCUCGCUAUUGGAGCGGCCGAUAUCAGAUUAGGUAGUUGGUGGGGUAAAGGCCCACCAAGCCGACGAUCUGUAGCUGGUCUGAGAGGACGACCAGCCACACUGGGACUGAGACACGGCCCAGACUCCUACGGGAGGCAGCAGUGGGGAAUUUGGACAAUGGGCGCAAGCCUGAUCCAGCCAUGCCGCGUGCGGGAAGAAGGCCUUGGGUUGUAACCGCUUUUGUCAGGGAAGAAAUCCUUUGGGUUAAUACCUCGGGGGAUGACGGUACCUGAAGAAUAAGCACCGGCUAACUACGUGCCGCAGCCGCGGUAAAUCACGUGUA